UAAUGAUUAAGAGGGACAGACGGGGGCAUUCAUAUUGCGACGUUAGAGGUGAAAUUCUUGGAUCGUCGCAAGAUGAACUACUGCGAAAGCAUUUGCCAAGCAUGUUUUCAUUAAUCAAGAACGAAAGUUAGAGGUUCGAAGGCGAUCAGAUACCGCCCUAGUUCUAACCGUAAACGAUGCCAACCAGCAAUCUGCGGGAGUUAUUCAAUGACUCUGCGGGCGGCUUCAGGGAAACCAAAGUUUUUGGGUUCCGGGGGAAGUAUGGUUGCAAAGCUGAAACUUAAAGGAAUUGACGGAAGGGCACAACCAGGAGUGGAGCCUGCGGCUUAAUUUGACUCAACGCGGGGAAACUCACCCGGCCCGGACACUGUAAGGAUUGACAGAUUGAAAGCUCUUUCUUGAUUCAGUGGAUGGUGGUGCAUGGCCGUUCUUAGUUGGUGGAGCGAUUUGUCUGGUUAAUUCCGAUAACGAACGAGACUCCGGCCUACUAACUAGAGCGUAGAUUUUUUGUCUACGAUACUUCUUAGAGGGACUCGGGGCGUCUAGCCUCACGAAACGGAGCGAUAACAGGUCUGUAAUGCCCUUAGAUGUCCGGGGCCGCACGCGCGCUACACUGAAGGAAGCAACUAGUGAUACCUUGGUUUGAAAAGACUGAGUAACCUGUUGAAGCUCCUUCGUGAUUGGGAUAGGGACUUGCAAUUAUUUCCCUUGAACGAGGAAUUCCUAGUAAGUGUGGGUCAUCAUCUCGCUUUGAUUACGUCCCUGCCCUUUGUACACACCGCCCGUCGCUACUACGAAGUGAAUGAAGUACUGAAAUCGACGGAUUGGACCUUUGGUGGCUUCACGGCUGCCAUUGUGCCUGAGAAAUCGCUUAAAGUGCUUCAUUUCGACGAAGUAAAAGUCGUAACAAGGUUUCCGUAGGUGAACCUGCAGAAGGAUCA
rnacentral:rRNA from 1 species